UUUCCGGUUGAUCCUGCCGGACCUGACUGCUAUCGGAUUGAUACUAAGCCAUGCGAGUCUUUGUAGUAAUACAAGGCAGACGGCUCAGUAACACGUAGUCAACCUACCCUAUGGACGAGAAUAAUCUCGGGAAACUGAGCAUAAUUCUUGAUAGAUCAUAAUGCCUGGAAUGGUUUAUGGUUAAAAUGAUUCGUCGCCAUAGGAUGGGACUGCGGCCUAUCAGCUUGUUGGUGAGGUAAUGGCCCACCAAGGCGAUUACAGGUACGGGCUCUGAGAGGAGAAGCCCGGAGAUGGGUACUGAGACACGGACCCAGGCCCUAUGGGGCGCAGCAGGCGAGAAAACUUUGCAAUGUGCGAAAGCACGACAAGGUUAAUCCGAGUGAUUUCUGCUAAAGAAAUCUUUUGCCAGCCGUAAAACCGCUGGUGAAUAAGGGGUGGGCAAGUUCUGGUGUCAGCCGCCGCGGUAAAACCAGCACCUCAAGUGGUCAGGAUGAUUAUUGGGCCUAAAGCAUCCGUAGCCGGCUUUGUAAGUUUUCGGUUAAAUCCAUGUGCUCAACGCAUGGGCUGCCGAAAAUACUGCAUAGCUAGGGAGUGGGAGAGGUAGACGGUACUCAGUAGGUAGGGGUAAAAUCCUUUGAUCUAUUGAUGACCACCUGUGGCGAAGGCGGUCUACCAGAACACGUUCGACGGUGAGGGAUGAAAGCUGGGGGAGCAAACCGGAUUAGAUACCCGGGUAGUCCCAGCUGUAAACGAUGCAGACUCGAUGAUGCAUUGGCAUAAUAGCCAUUGCAGUGUCGCAGGGAAGCCGUUAAGUCUGCCGCCUGGGAAGUACGUACGCAAGUAUGAAACUUAAAGGAAUUGGCGGGGGAGCACCACAAGGGGUGAAGCCUGCGGUUCAAUUGGAGUCAACGCCGGGA
rnacentral:rRNA from 1 species